UACGUAGGGGCAAGCGUUGUCCGGAUUUAUUGGGCGUAAAGAGCGUGUAGGCGGCCAGGUAGGUCCGUUGUGAAAACUCGAGGCUCAACCUCGAGACGCCGAUGGAAACCAUCUGGCUAGAGUCCGGAAGAGGAGAGUGGAAUUCCCGGUGUAGCGGUGAAAUGCGCAGAUAUCGGGAAGAACACCCGUGGCUAAGGCGGCUCUCUAGUACGGUACUGACGCUGAGACGCGAAAGCGUGGGGAGCGAACAGG
rnacentral:rRNA from 1 species